rnacentral:rRNA from 1 species
CGGGACGGGUGAGUAAUGUCUGGGAAACUGCCUGAUGGAGGGGGAUAACUACUGGAAACGGUAGCUAAUACCGCAUAACGUCGCAAGACCAAAGAGGGGGACCUUCGGGCCUCUCGCCAUCGGAUGUGCCCAGAUGGGAUUAGCUAGUAGGUGGGGUAACGGCUCACCUAGGCGACGAUCCCUAGCUGGUCUGAGAGGAUGGCCAGCCACACUGGAACUGAGACACGGUCCAG